UACGGAGGGUGCGAGCGUUGUCCGGAAUCACUGGGCGUAAAGGGCGCGUAGGUGGCCGAGCAAGGUCGCGGUGAAAGCCCGGGGCUCAACCCCGGGUCGGCCGUGGCAACUACUGGGCUGGAGCACUGUAGGGGCGGGUGGAAUCCGGGUGUAGCGGUGGAAUGCGUAGAGAUCCGGAAGAACACCGGUGGCGAAGGCGGCCCGCGGGCAGUUGCUGACACUGAGGCGCGACAGCGUGGGGAGCAAACAGGG
rnacentral:rRNA from 1 species